UCUUUCUAUGUGGGACCAACUCCAGAAUCUGACAAAUCCUUUCGUUCUGCUGUAAAUGCUGCCAUUUCUUCUUAAUGUCACAGGUUUGAAUCCACGUCUUUUGGUUUCUUUGUUUCGCACUUUGAGGAUUUGCUCUUGAAUAAAUUAUUU